CCCUUAGAUGUUCUGGGCUGCACGCGUGUUACAAUCGGGAGUACAACAAGAUUGCAAAUCCUAGUGGAUGAGUGGUUCUUCGAAAUUUUCUGAAGACUGGGAUAGUUGAUUGAAAUUAUUCAACUCGAACGAGGAAUUCCUUGUAAUUGUAAUUCAUUAUAUUGUAAUGAAUACGUCCCUGCCCUUUGUACACACCGCCCGUCGCUACUACCGAUUGGAUGGCUUAGCGAGAAUUUUGGAUCGGAGCCCGGGUGGUCGGCAACGGUCGCCCGGGAGAUCUGAGAAAUCAUUCCAGCUUGGUCAUCUAGAGGAAGUAAAAGUCGUAACA
rnacentral:rRNA from 1 species